UACGAAGGGGGCUAGCGUUGUUCGGAAUUACUGGGCGUAAAGCGUGCGCAGGCGGUCUUCCAAGUCAGUGGUGAAAGCCCGGAGCUCAACUCCGGAACUGCCGUUGAAACUGUGAGACUCGAGUACGAGAGAGGUGAGUGGAAUUCCCAGUGUAGAGGUGAAAUUCGUAGAUAUUGGGAAGAACACCGGUGGCGAAGGCGGCUCACUGGCUCGUAACUGACGCUCAGGCACGACAGCGUGGGGAUCAAACAGG
rnacentral:rRNA from 1 species